rnacentral:tRNA from 1 species
GGGGUUGUGGCUCAGUGGUAGAGUGCUUGCCUAGCAUGUAGGACACUGUGUUCAAUCCUCAGCACCACA